CUAUCGAAAGGGAAGCCGGUUAAAAUUCCGGCGCCAGGAUGUGGAUGAUAGACGGCAACGUAAACGAACCAGGAGACGUCGGCGAGGGCCCUGGAAAGAGUUAUCUUUUCUUUCUUACAGUCUGUCACCCUGAAAUCGAUUUGUUCGGAGAUAGGGUUCCAUGGCUGGUAGAGCUCGGCACUUCUGCCGAGUCCGGUGCGUCCUCGACGGCCCUUGAAAAUCCUGGGGAGCAAACAUUUCACGCCUGGUCGUACUGAUAACCGCAGCAGGUCUCCUAGGUUAACAGCCUCUAGUUGAUAGAAUAAUGUGGAUAAGGGAAUUCGGCAAAAUGGAUCCGUAACUUCGGGAAAAGGAUUGGCUCUAAGGGUCGGGUGCGUUGGGCCUUGGGACGACGCUCCCGGAGCAGGGUGGCACUAGCCCACCAGCCGGGGCCGCCCAGCACCGUGGGGCCGACGCCCUUGGCAGGCUUCGGCCGUCCGACGCACGCUUAACGACCGACUUGGAACUGGUACGGACAAGGGGAAUCUGACUGUC
rnacentral:rRNA from 1 species